GAUUUCUGGCUUGUCCCCGGCGGCCGGCCACGGUUUCGUGUGUCAGUGCCGCCGGUGUAGGCCAUCCUUCCACACGCGCCCGCCGACUCUUCGCUGAGCCGGCAGCGGGGGUGGAUCGUUUACUUUGAAAAAAUUAGAGUGUUUCAAGCAGGCUGUAUGCUAUGAAUACAUUAGCAUGGAAUAAUGAGUUAGGACUUCGGUUCUAUUUUGUUGGUUUCUAGGACGGAAGUAAUGAUUGAUAGGGAUAGUUGGGGGUGCUAGUAUUCAGCGGCCAGAGGUGAAAUUCUCGGAUUCGCUGAAGACUAACUUAUGCGAAAGCAUU
rnacentral:rRNA from 1 species